rnacentral:lncRNA from 1 species
GCCGUUUACUGGAGAGCUGCUUGUGAAUUGCAGCCACCUGUUGAGGGAGCCAAACAGCUUCAAGCAGGGCUAAAAUUUCUUCUUUGUUGUUGACACUCUUUCCUGCUGAGGUAGGAAAUGCUGGGAAGAAAAAGCUGGGCCUUCUUGGCUGGGACCUGAUACCCGAAUUCCUGAAGGAGGUAAAGUAGGUCCGUAGUAUGUUGCAGGCAGCUGUCAGUAGUUUCAGUAGCCAAUAACAGGUCGUCUACAUACUGGAGAAGAGUGCAGUUAGGGUGACUGGCUCAGAAUGGUAAAAGAUCCUGUUGGAGGGCUUCCCUAAAAAGGGUGGGGGAAUUUUUAAAACUUCGGGGUAACCAAGUCCAGGUUAAUUGGGUGGUGUCUACCGAGCCAGGAUAUGUCUGUUCAAAAGCAAAGAUAGGUUGACUUUUGGGGCCAGAGGAAUAGCAAAAAAAAGCAUCCUUGAAGUCAAGGACAGUGUACACCAUAUGUUCUGGUGGGAGCAGGCUGAGUAAAGUAUAAGGGUUAGAGACAGUUGGAUGGACAGUGACUGUCUGCUUGUUACCUUCCUGCAAGUCCUGUACAGGCUGGUAAUCAUUUGUUCCGGGUUUCUGGACCGGCAAAAAUGGAAUAUUCCAGGCGAUCUCACAUGGUGUGAGUAUACCAGCUUGUAAUAGUUGCUGAAUAUGAGGAUUAAUUCCCUCUAUAGCCCACAGAAUCAUAGGAUAUUGUUUGACCUGGACCGGCAGGGUGGUGGCCAGGAGUUCUACAACAGCUGGCAGAUGGUGGUUUGCCAGUCCUGGGAGGUAUGAGGAAACAGAGUCUGUAAAGCCAGUAGGAGAGGAUUACUUUUAUUCUCCGGCAGUUGUGAGGGUGAAACUAAGAGAUAUUCCUCUGACCGAAGGGUGGUUAGCAGGAGCUGAGCAGUAGGGGGCAUUGUGUCCCCUAACAUGAGGUGAGUUUGUUGGGCCGAGAAGGAGAUGGACGCCUGUAGCUUAUGAAGCAGGUCUCAUCCGAGGAGGGAGAAGGGGCACUCUGGGACCACGAGGAACAAGUGGGUUACUCUUUUCUGUCCUAAACUCACCUCUCGUGAGUGGGUGACAGGAUAUUCCUGAAUAGCUCCAGUAGCCCUUUACUCAGCAACCUUUUUAUUAGACACUGCCUAAGGGUGUCUGGAGUACUGAGUGUUCCACCCCGGUGUCAAUUAGGAAGCGUACAGGCUGGCCCCCCACUGUGGUGGUCACCAUGGGUUCCCGGGGCCAAGUGACAAAGAGCCCUGGCCCCGUCAAUCAUCAGAUUCCUCUGCUGCGGGGCAGGGUGAGGACCUUUUUCUUUUCUGGUUUCUCCUCUGGCUUUAAUGGGCAUUCCUUUCUCCAGUGUCCAAUCUGCUUGCAAGAAGCACAUUGGUUUCUUUAUAGGGGAGUCCUCUCACGUUUCUGGCCUUCCUGGUGGGGACUCGGGGUCCCCUGGUCAGUGCUCUGUGAUGGGGGCCCUUCCUUUUUGGCUUCUUGGAUGGCAGCCACUAAGCUUUUUGCCUGUCUUUUUGAUGCUUUGUCUGCAGCCCUUUCAGCUGCCUGAGCUACCUGUUUUUGCUUUUCAAAUUCUCGAUUGUCGAAAACUCUCUGGGCUAUCUCUAAAAGCUGGCUGAUGUAAGGAAAUACUUUCUGGCUUCUCUUCAGAUAUGGUCCCUCUCUUCAGAGGUGAAAAGGGAUGAAAGGAGUUGCUGACACUCAUCCCAGGUGGGCCGGUGAGUCUGGAGCACAGACUCCAUCAGUGAGGUUAAGACCUGGGGCUUUUCAGAAAAGGGGGGAUUAUGAGCCUUCCAGUUGUACAGGUCAGAAGUAGAGAAGGGGACAUAAACUAAAAAUGGAGCACAACGCCCACUGCCCAAAGGGAUUUGGGCCUCUGUCAGUGGGAGGAGCGGGGCCACCUCCUCCGGCUGAGGCCAUAAUUGGGAGGAUAUAGGCAGAGAGGCCACAGAGGAUGUAGUUGAGGAGACAAGGGAAGAUUCUGGGGGAGGAGGAGGGUUAUAGGGUGGUGGAAAUGGGUGAAGAAAACUUUCCUCUUCUUCAGAAGGAGGCAGUACAGGAGGAAUCGAGGGAGCUGAGGGUGGAGGCAAAAGUGAGGUCUGGCUAAAAAGGACCUUGGAGGUAGGAUCACGAAUGGCUACAGAGUUUUAUCACGAGUGGAGCCAUGAAGGAGAGCUCUGGACUAAAUCUAGCCAUUGAUCAAUGUAGGGAAACUGAUCGGGGUGACCGGGAGUUCCAACAACGACCCACCACACAGCCUGAACAGCUGUGAAGUGUAGUGACCCGUCUGGGGGCCACCCAGUUCCAAACUUUGGCCAUUCUACUUCGCAGAGUGUCCAGAGUUUGCCUUUUUUAAGGCGGACCCCGUAAUCAUCUGAGAAGCCUAGAGAGAAAUUCUGCAACAUACACUGGAGAGGACUCCAAUCUUUAUGGGGCCGGGAAGAAGAGUUUACUAUUCUGGAGGCAAUUAACAAGGUUUGAACAAAAAUAUUAAACCCAGCAUGGACAAAGAUAUUCACGGCCUGGGAGGCUAUGGUAUCAGAAGAACAGAAGUAUUAUAGCUAGAAGAAGUAGGAAAACAACUAUAGCCAAUAUUUCUUGCCACAUAAGGUCUGUCUCCUCAAGCUUCGAGAUCUAUGGAGAGGAUAAGAGGUGGGUCCAAGGGAUCCUCAGCCAGUGGGACUUAGGUGACCCCCCCUUCUUGACUUAUAUCCCAAAUAACUUUGGUGUCUCCACGACUCGAAAGCAAAAUGUUCAAACUCGGUCCUUUCCUUCACGGGUUUAAGGAGGGAGAACACAGCCAAGUCUUAGAGACGCUGGACUUGCUGCAACACAGGAAAAUGAGAUGUGCAGGGUAAGGGAUGGGGAUGAGGAGGAAAGGGGCCACUUGGAUUUCCCUAAAGGUUGGAGAGUAGCCAAAAGAGGUAAAAUAAGAGUCCAGACAGAGUAGAGCAGUAUGGGUGUAGGUUUCUCUGCACAGUGCCUUAUUUAAGGGCAUGGGAAAAGUUAUGGGAUGACAGAAAAGGUGAGUAAGGAGGUCAGCAGGGUGGCUAUUUUGGAUCCACCACUGGUCUAAGGAGAAGGUGGACCAGUCGUUGGGGCGUGGGGUAUGGCAAUCCAAACGCCAGCAAUCUUUAUGGUGCCAGAAAUCCUAAACGGGUGAAUGUCUUCCACACCCUUCCCCAUAACAACACCUAAUUUGUUUCUGACAGGAAAGGCAGGACUGGGAUGGCCAGCCCAACCGACUAAUGAGGAAUUUGACCUCCUGGGAUAGAAAAUCUGUACUAAGGACCUUGAAGAAGUCCUUGCCCAGUCAUUUUGGGCAGUAUCGACGAUCCGACAUAUGAAAUUUAGACAGACACUAAACAGGACAAUAGGCACUGGGGUAUAUAAACAAGCAUGGCAAUUUUUAUAGACAGACAAGGGGAGGGGGUCCCGUGAUGGGAUCAGUCAGAUGCCCUCCUGGCUGCUCCCCUUUCGGGGACUUAGGCUCCUCUUGGCAUUGGCAGGCUGGUAUAAACCCCUGGCUUGGAUCGAGCUAUGCCUGAUGCCGCCCUAAGCCUUAUGAGGUCACCACGGAACCACAGGUGAGGGCCUUCUCGAAUUCCCUAGCUUUCACCCUGGAGCUACAAACUGGAAAUUCAAGCGCAAGCCCUUGAACUCCACAUUCACUCACUCACUCACUCACUCAGAGUUUAUUACAAUUUUUAUACCCAUUCUAAAACAGAGAUCUCCCGGAGACCUGAAUGAGAGAGGGAGAAGAGAUAGAGAGAGAGAGAGACUAGACUUAACAGAGAAUCCUGACAGAAACCAGGACUCUGUCCUCCAGUGUCCUGGAGCAUGGACAGAGUCUGAGGGAGGACCUUCGUCAGGGCCGUUUCCCUCCCAGAGAGACAGAGUCAGAUCUGACUUACCUUCCCGGGACUAGAGACUGAGGACUCAGGAGUUGAAUUUGGCUGGGCGCACCGGCAGUCGAUCCGUUCCCCUCCAGAAGACAGUGGCCUGUGGAGCCCUGGAACGUCUUCAGGUGGCCCUGUAAGCCAGCUGUCUGUCUGGGGAAGCCCGGAAUGAGUCAGGUCUUCACCCGGUGGCGAAUCUCUCUGGGGCUUCCAAAUGUCGUAACCGAGCAAGUCAUAGAGAGAAUGCCACACUCUGAGACUAAUUCAGGAGUCCUUUAUUGCUGGCGACUGAGAAAGAGCUAGAGCUUGAAAUUCUCUCGGUCCGGAAGAAGAGGCUAGAGUUCUUUUUAUACCUUGGCCUAAAGAGGGGAGGGGGAGUCUAGCUGAAGCAAUUUUUUACAGAAGCAGAACAGGAAAAAAUUAAAAGAUAAAUGGUUACAGAAACAGUUACAGGAAAAUAAACAGUUCCAGGUGCAGGGGCUUAAAGUAUCCCAAAGUGAUAAAAGCAGGGGCUUUGGAUACCACCAACCAAGUGUGCUCCCAGGAGCUGCUGGUACAGCUUGCCUCAGUAUCUUAUCAAUAAGCGCAUUCUUGGAUGUGCUUGGAGUCAGCUUGCACCAGUUAUGUCCUUAAGGAGGGGGACAAGGGGCUGCAAGCGAAGAAACCAAGCUAAGACUCUCUCAGCUAUUGACUCUCUCGAUAUUGACUCUCAAUUGAGUCUCCCAAGCUAUUGACUCUCUCAGCUAAGAAAGAGUCAAUCAGGAUAAAACAAGAUAGGGUAUCACAAUUUGAUCUGCAAGAUUAUUUCCUGGACUUGUGAAAGGCGAGUCGUUUUGGUGCCCUGGGACAUGUACAAUAGCUAUCUCUUCUGGCAAUUGGAGAUUGUUGAGGACACGAGCAUCAGUUCUCUAUGAACUAAAUCUUGGCCUCUACUAUUGAUAAGAGCCCUCUCCAUCCAAAUUUUCCCAAAUGUGUGUGCCUCCCCAGAGGGAUACUUAGAGUCAGUAUAGAUAGAUUUUCUUGGUUUUGUAAAUGUCCUAAAGCUUGGCUGAGUGCAAACAGUUCACACCCUUGGACAGACCAAUUAUUAGACCCCCUUCCUGAUUUUACUUUUUUAACAGUCUUUCCAUUAAUCACUGAAUACCUAUUAUGUCUCUUUCUUUUAAUCACCUGGGAGGUUCCAUCUAUGAAUAAGUGCCACCCUGUCUUGAAGGGAGUUUUUCCUAAGUCUGGUUGAACUUUCGUAUGGUAAUUAAUUCGAUUUAAACACGCGUGCUCUCUCGUUUUACGUUUGGAUCCCCCGUUAAAGAGCCUGCUGAAUAAAGUGAAUUAUUAGUACUUAAUAUUAAAUCACCUUUUUCCCAGAAAGAUAGCCUCAUAUUUUAAAAUUUUUGAGUUGGUAAUCUCCCUCCUUGCGUUUUGAUUUAAUAUAGUUUUAACUUGGUGGGUUGUGGCCUGAAGCGGCUGGGGAGUAACUUGAAACCUCAGCUGAAGGGACAGCACAGGCUGGGGCGUGGCCUGAAACAGCUGGGGAGUAACCUGAAACCACAGCCGGAGGGACCUGAGAGGGGAACCAAAGGGGCAGGAUUGGGGGCGCUGAAGGAAGGAAGGUGAUUUAGAGGAUCCCAUGUCUUGGUAGGUAUGGGUUGUCUAGGCAUGGGAACUCUUUCCUUUUUAGAAAGGUUGGUUUCUGAUUUUCUCCCUCCAGAGUCUAAAGGGUAAAGGAGAACUGGUCCCUGCCGCCAGCAGAGGGCGUAAUCGAUUUUUCCUGGGACACAGGGCUCUUACUGUUAACAUAUUUGAUUAACAGCUGACAAAUUCGCUCUUCAUUAGACUUAAAUUUUGGCCAGAAAAGUGAGGGCUUAAGGAUGGGUUCUCGAACUUAAAUAAAACAACAAUAUUCUAUCAUCUGCUGUUUUUGUUUAUACUUGGUUCUCUUAUUAUUUUUUCAAUACUUUAGCAUAAGCCCCAAGGGGCUAUCAGAAGGAAAUUCAUCACUCUCUAGACUCUUUAGUUUUCCUGUCUUACUUGAAACGUUCCCCAUCUUAGGGAUUAUGGGGAGGAGGCCCAACCCCUCCUGUGAGAUUUCUACCCUCCCCCUUCCUGGAGGCUUACUGAGGCUUUGGGGAAAGGCUCCAACCCAACCUGUUUGGAUUUCUACCCUCCCCCUUCCUCUUUGUCUACUCUGUCUGUUCCUGACUCUAGUUGACAGAUGGCAGCAUGAGGCCAUAGAGAAGACUCACUCACUCCACAUAACCACCAUACUAAGUCCCAUUCAUACACUGUCAGCCUCCAGCUUAUCCCAACCACCUGGGAAAUACUUUGUCACCUUCGCCAAGUCUCCUACCUUAUUCCAUGCACAAGAAUUUCCUGGUCCUCUUAUUGUUGCGGUCUUGCAAGCUUCUCCUCCCCGCUUUGCUGAGAUCCAGACUUAUUUGUCACAAAGCGGGGGGGGGGCCCUGAUCUCCCUCAACCUAGGGGCACGGUAACUAGACAGUAGGAUGCGUCCCCUCCGGGUGGGGUGACCGAAGGCCCCCUUCCCAAAGGAGAAGAUUCGAGCCCCAAAGUUGGGCUCCAGAACUGUUAGGAAUAACGCUCAAAAUCUUAAGGAAAUUGAACACUUGAACAAAGGAUUCUUAGCAAAGCAAUUUUACUUCUGCGCAGAGAGGUGCCUCCUUGUCCAGUCGCCAUGAGAGCACACCUGAAAAAGGGGCACGAGAGCCUUUACUCCUGACACAAGUACUGCCCCUGUACCCUUUCUCCAUUGGCCAGGGUCAGGUCGUACAAUCUAAACUAAUCCUGGUUGGCUAAACAUUGGAUUUUUUUUAGAUAAGGUGGGCACGUAAAAAAGGCAGAGAAUAAAGGGGAAGGGGUGUCUGUAAUGAGCUAAAAAGUUAGUCCUCUUUCCAAAUAAGGAAAGGAAUGUGAGCAGGUACAGAUACCACCUGGUACUGUGGCAUGCCUGGGCAUGUAACAAAGGAAAAAAGAGAAAAAAGGAGAAAAAGGAAAAAAGGUGGAGGGAUUA